GCAAGUCGAGCGGUAACAGAGAUAGCUUGCUAUCUGCUGACGAGCGGCGGACGGGUGAGUAAUGCUUGGGAAUAUGCCUUUGGUGGGGGACAACUGUUGGAAACGACAGCUAAUACCGCAUAACGUCUACGGACCAAAGUGGGGGACCUUCGGGCCUCACGCGCAGAGAUUAGCCCAAGUGGGAUUAGCUAGUUGGUAAGGUAAUGGCUCACCAAGGCGACGAUCCCUAGCUGGUUUGAGAGGAUGAUC
rnacentral:rRNA from 1 species